rnacentral:rRNA from 1 species
AACGCGAAGAACCUUACCUGGGCUUGAACUACUGGUAGUAAGUCUUUGGAAACAUGGACUGAUCCGCAAGGAAGCCAGCAGAGGUGCUGCAUGGUUGUCGUCAGCUCGUGUCGUGAGAUGUUGGGUUAAGUCCCGCAACGAGCGCAACCCCUAUCUCAUGUUGCUAAUCCCGCAAGGGAUGCACUUUUGAGAAACUGCCUUCGAUAAGAAGGAGGAAGGUGGGGAUGACGUCAAAUCCUCAUGGCCCUUAUGUCCAGGGCUACACACGUGCUACAAUGGCCGGUACAACGGGAAGCAAUACCGUAAGGUGGAGCCAAACCCUGAAAGCCGGCCCCAGUUCAGAUCGUGGGCUGCAACUCGCCCACGUGAAGGCGGAAUCGCUAGUAAUCGCGAAUCAGCAGGUCGCGGUGAAUACGUUCCCGGGCCUUGUA